CAUUGCUUUUCCGCAAUUAGGUACAUUACCAUUGAAGAACUAGAGCAAGCUCUCCAUGAGUAUAACAUGCACGAUGGCAGGGACAUCAAGGAAAUCAUUUCAGAAGUUGACGCAGAUAACGAUGGUCGGAUUAACUAUGAUGAGUUUGUUGCAAUGAUGAGCAAGGGAAACCCAGAAGCAAAUACCAAGAAGAGGCGUGAUUCAAUCUUGUUUUAGUAAGCAACUAUGGGAAGAUAUUCAACGGAGACAAUAAUCUCUUUCAGCCUUGUAUUAUUAAAAAAUUCCAGUUGCUGAUGAGUGAAAAAUCGCAUCACGCUUGGUAGUUGUUUGGUUGGAAAGGGAUAUCCUAUCAUAUGGGUGAGGAAUGGGUUAAGGUGAAAAUUGUAAAAUAGGAGGGGGAAAAGAACUUAAACUAACCUUUGAAAAUUGUAAAAUUAUGCUAGGUCGGUUGGUUAUGCUUUUUUUUCGUUUCCUUGUAACAUGUUUGGUAUUGUAUUGUAAUUGUUGCUCACUUAGGAAUCAAAUCAAAAGGGUGUUUAUGUGUUGUCUCUUAUUCAGUACUAGGUUUAAAUAUUUGCAUUGUUAACUUUAAAUAUUUGAUUUUGAAUGCAGUUUUUAUCACUGACAGGA